AUUGAACGCUGGCGGCAUGCCUUACACAUGCAAGUCGAACGGCAGCGCGGGGCAACCUGGCGGCGAGUGGCGAACGGUGAGUAACAUAUCGGAACAUACCCUAGAGUGGGGGAUAACGUAGCGAAAGUUACGCUAAUACCGCAUACGCACUAAGGUGGAAAGUGGGGGAUCUUCGGACCUCAUGCUCAUGGAGUGGCCGAUAUCUGAUUAGCUAGUUGGUGAGGUAAAGGCUCACCAAGGCGACGAUCAGUAGCUGGUCUG
rnacentral:rRNA from 1 species